GGGGGGGGGGGGGGGGGGGGGGGGGGGGGGGGGGGGGGGGGGGGGGGGGGGGGGGGGGGGGGGGGGGGGGGGGGGGGGGGGGGGGGGGGGGGGGGGGGGGGGGGGGGGGGGCUCGGCCGGCCCGGGGGGUGUGAGGAUCGCUGCUGUGGGUGGGGAUCGCACGCUGCGGCUCCGUGAGGGCCGCGCAGGUAACGCUGCUGCGGGGGGGCUCGGCAUCCACCGCCAUCCCUCCGGUUUUGUGGUGCUACAGCCAUCAAAAUCAACGAUUAGGUCCCUUUUAAUGAUUUUUUGGUGUACUAGACCCUUUCUGUCUAAUUAAAAAUUACACCCACAGCACUGGAGCUUUUGCGAUUUCAGUUUAAAAUUGCCCUGUUGGUAGAUGAAGUUUUGCAAGCUGCAUUACACUACUUUAAAUUUACAUCGCUCUGUAUUUUCUAAUUAAGAAUUAUUUAGAAGGAUUGCUGACUGCUAAUACCUGUCUGAUACAAAUAUUUCAGUGAUUCAUAUCAGCAUAAAUGCAGGUGAAAAUACAAGCAGAGUUGGUCAUGAGGGUCUGGUUAUUCCUUGUUUUUCCCUGUAAAAACCUACUUUAUACUGCUGAAGAGUAUUCUAGUAACACUUCUCUUGCUUUUACUCCCACAGCAGGAAGAUGUCUUGAAGUAAAAGAGCCUGCGAUGUGA
rnacentral:lncRNA from 1 species